GGAAGAGUUCAUGACGGUGACAAACUCAACAGCAGCGACCGUACCGAGCGCCCUAAAACGAAUUCACAGCAUGAUCAGACAGAUGGCGGUCUGCGGGGUGAAGGCAAGGGCUUCACAGUGAAAUGGCGUGGCGUCUGUAGGGGCCUCGAGCAUUGAGGGAAAAUUCUCUGGAACACUGACUGUACAGUGCCCCUAUGCACAAAGCAAAGACAUGGUUUCCUGAGUUUGAUGUGGAAACGCUUCAACACCUCAACCCCAUCCAACACCUUUGAUAUGAAUAGGAAUGCUGACUGUUGAGCCAGUUCCUAACCAGACUAAUGUUCUUCUGCCUGAAUAGAAGUGAAUCUUCAAAGCCACGUUCCAGCAUCUACUAUAGCCUUCCCAAAGCAUUGAAGCUGUUGUAGAAGCAAA